UGUGCUAUUUCCUGAGCAUUUCGAAACC
rnacentral:piRNA from 1 species